rnacentral:rRNA from 1 species
UACAGAGGUCUCAAGCGUUGUUCGGAUUCAUUGGGCGUAAAGCGCGUGUAGGCGGUCCGGUAAGUCCGCUGUGAAAGUCGGGGGCUCAACCCUCGGAUGCCGGUGGAUACUGUCGGGCUUGAGUACGGAAGAGGCGAGUGGAAUUCCUGGUGUAGCGGUGAAAUGCGCAGAUAUCAGGAGGAACACCAAUUGCGAAGGCAGCUCGCUGGGACGUUACUGACGCUGAGACGCGAAAGCGUGGGGAGCAAACAGG